AGCGGCGGACGGGUGAGUAAUGCAUAGGAAUCUGCCCGGUAGUGGGGGAUAACCUGGGGAAACCCAGGCUAAUACCGCAUACGUCCUACGGGAGAAAGGGGGCUCCGGCUCCCGCUAUUGGAUGAGCCUAUGUCGGAUUAGCUAGUUGGUAAGGUAAUGGCUUACCAAGGCAACGAUCCGUAGCUGGUCUGAGAGGAUGAUCAGCCACAUCGGGACUGAGACACGGCCCGAACUCCUACGGGAGGCAGCAGUGGGGAAUAUUGGACAAUGGGGGCAACCCUGAUCCAGCCAUGCCGCGUGUGUGAAGAAGGCCCUCGGGUUGUAAAGCACUUUCAGCGAGGAAGAACGCCUAGCGGUUAAUACCCGCUAGGAAAGACAUCACUCGCAGAAGAAGCACCGGCUAACUCCGUGCCAGCAGCCGCGGUAAUACGGAGGGUGCAAGCGUUAAUCGGAAUUACUGGGCGUAAAGCGCGCGUAGGUGGCUUGAUAAGCCGGUUGUGAAAGCCCCGGGCUCAACCUGGGAACGGCAUCCGGAACUGUCAGGCUAGAGUGCAGGAGAGGAAGGUAGAAUUCCCGGUGUAGCGGUGAAAUGCGUAGAGAUCGGGAGGAAUACCAGUGGCGAAGGCGGCCUUCUGGACUGACACUGACACUGAGGUGCGAAAGCGUGGGUAGCAAACAGGAUUAGAUACCCUGGUAGUCCACGCCGA
rnacentral:rRNA from 1 species